CCUGGUUUUUUUCUUGACUUUCCACAUUGUUCUCACUAGCACUUUGCUCCACCUGACUACCAUCUUUUUCUUCCCGCCUAUUUUCAUCUAAACUGUCUCCCAUGUCUAAAUUCUUGCCCCCCUCAUCAGACUCAGAUUUAUUUUCACCAGAGGCCUCCUCUGAUUCUGUUUGCUCACUUUUAUUCAUUUCACCACCUUCAGCUUGCGUCUGUCUAGUUUCUCCAUCUCCUGUGUUUUCACCUCCAUCAUUUUCAGCCUCCUCUUUUGGCCCCUCUUGAGACUCAGUCUUCCCGUCCUGGUUUUCUUCCUUAUUCUUGGACUCAAUCUUCAUAUCAGUGCCUUCUGUCUCAACCUUCUCUUCCUUCUUACCCUCAACUAUAAUCCCAGUCUCUAACGCGUUCUCACUUUGAUCAUCCUGAGUAUCAGAUUUGUUUUCACUUUGAGAAUAAAUGGUAUUGCCAUCGUUUUUCAUUGCAUCUUCUGGUAAAUCGCCUGAACUGUCUUCAAAUUGCUUAGAAUUACUUUCAAUGCCUGUUCCUUUGACCUCAUUUACUGUCUCUUGGGAGGAUAAGUUUGAAUCAUGAACUGGAACAACAGAAGAUGACAUUAACAUCCAAACUCCAACUAAACAAAAGGCAACAAACACAACCACAACGAUUGUUGAACAGUAGCCUGAUGACUUCCUCCCAUCAACACGGGAGUACUUCCCCAUGGCCAUGCCUCUUUCGAUAA
rnacentral:misc_RNA from 1 species